rnacentral:rRNA from 1 species
GACGAACCGUGCGAACGUUGUUCGGAAUCACUGGGCUUAAAGGGCGCGUAGGCGGGCGAUCAAGUCAGGGGUGAAAUCCUCCAGCUUAACUGGAGAACUGCCUCUGAUACUGGUCGAUCUUGAGUGAGGUAGGGGCGUGCGGAACUGAUGGUGGAGAGCGGUGAAAUGUGUUGAUAUCGAUCAGGAACUCCGGUGGCGAAAGCGGCGCGCUGGACC